rnacentral:rRNA from 1 species
GGCCUUUUGUUAAAAAUUUAAGGUCUAGCCUGCUCGCUGAGUAAUUAAAGGGCCGCGGUAUUUUGACCGUGCUAAGGUAGCAUAAUCACUAGUUUCUUAAUUAGAAGCUUGUAUGAAUGGUUGAAUAAGAAAGAGACUGUUUCUAUAUAAAUGUUAAUGAAUUUAAUAAUUAAGUAAGAAAGCUUAAAUAAUUUUAAAAGACGAGAAGACCCUAUAGAGUUUAAUAAAAUAAUUUAAUUAUAAGUUUUAUAAAUUUGAUUUUUAAUUAAGUAAUUUAUUUGAUUGGGGUGAUUAAAAAAUUAAAAUAACUUUUUUUUAUAAAAACAUUAAUUUAUGAUUAUGUGAUCCAUUAAUUAUGAUUAAAAGAUUAAAUUACCUUAGGGAUAACAGCGUAAUUUUAUUGGAGAGCUCUAAUCGAUAAUAAAGUUUGCGACCUCGAUGUUGGAUUAAAAUUAAUUUUUGGUGUAGAGGCUAGGAAGUUUAGGUCUGUUCGACCUUUAAAAUUUUACAUGA